UACGAAGGGUGCAAGCGUUGUUCGGAAUCACUGGGCGUAAAGAAUGCGUAGGCGGCUUAACAAGUCGGGAGUGAAAGCCCAGGGCUCAACCCUGGAACUGCUCUCGAAACUGUUUUGCUAGAGUCCCGGAGGGGUUAGCGGAAUUCCGAGUGUAGAGGUGAAAUUCGCAGAUAUUCGGAGGAACACCAGUGGCGAAGGCGGCUAACUGGACGGGAACUGACGCUGAAGCAUGAAAGUGUGGGGAUCAAACAGG
rnacentral:rRNA from 1 species